rnacentral:rRNA from 1 species
GACGAACGCUGGCGGCGUGCUUAACACAUGCAAGUCGAACGGAAAGGCCCUGCUUUUGUGGGGUGCUCGAGUGGCGAACGGGUGAGUAACACGUGAGUAACCUGCCCUUGACUUUGGGAUAACUUCAGGAAACUGGGGCUAAUACCGGAUAGGAGCUCCUGCUGCAUGGUGGGGGUUGGAAAGUUUCGGCGGUUGGGGAUGGACUCGCGGCUUAUCAGCUUGUUGGUGGGGUAGUGGCUUACCAAGGCUUUGACGGGUAGCCGGCCUGAGAGGGUGACCGGCCACGUUGGGACUGGGAGACGGCCCAGACCCCUACGGGGGGCAGGGGGGGGGAAUAUUGCAAAAGGGGCGGAAGCCUGAUGCAGCAACGCCGCGUGGGGGAUGGCGGCCUUCGGGUUGUAAACCGCUUUCGCCUGUGACGAAGCGUGAGUGACGGUAAUUGGUAAAGAAGCACCGGCUAACUACGU